GCGGCCUAUCAGCUUGUUGGUGGGGUAAUGGCCUACCAAGGCAACGACGGGUAGCUGGUCUGAGAGGAUGAUCAGCCACACUGUGACUGAGACACGGCCCAGACUCCUACGGGAGGCAGCAGUGGGGAAUCUUGCGCAAUGGGCGAAAGCCUGACGCAGCAACGCCGCGUGCGGGAUGAAGGCCUUCGGGUUGUAAACCGCUUUCAGCAGGAACGAAAAUGACGGUACCUGCAGAAGAAGGAGCGGCCAACUACGUGCCAGCAGCCGCGGUGACACGUAGGCUCCAAGCGUUGUCCGGAUUUAUUGGGCGUAAAGAGCUCGUAGGCGGUUUAGUAAGUCGGGUGUUAAAACUCUGGGCUCAACCCGGAGACGCCAUCCGAUACUACUAUGACUUGAGUUCAGGAGGGGAGACUGGAAUUCCU
rnacentral:rRNA from 1 species